AUGCUCGCUCUGAUAGCACAAACACCACAACUGGAACAAUACAGAAAUCAGCAUGGUCCCUGUGCAAGAAUGACACGCAAAUUUGUGAAAUGUUCCAGAUUUUU